GUCCUGAGACGUAUUUUAUUUGUGAUUUGUUCUAUGUGCUUUGUGGUGUUCCUGUUUGUUUGUUUUUUCUCUUGUCUACUGCUACCAUUCUCAUGCAGGUGAUUGGGUUCACCUGUUGCUGAUUUGCUGCCCAUUCACCUCAGCUCCACUGAUUGGCUGCAGCCAGGAGAAAGCCAGCAUAUAAAGCCAGCACUGCCUCACAGCAAGCUGAGAGGGAGAGGGUUGCAGAUUGUAACCUGUCACAUGGACUGCUUUUCGCUGGCUCCAGAUAACCUUAUGUCCGUUGUUAUUAAAUGCUAACCAUUGGUGCUACUGUGGGUUUAGUUGGAGACUUGUGUGUUAUUGGGGCUGGAGACAAGAGGUCCCUGUGCUUUCUCUCUCCAAAAGUUUGUUACUGCUAGGUCCAUUACCUCUAGACUAAAAGGGCUAGCACGUAACAAGUGGGGGCUCGUCCUUUCAAGUGAAAGUUUACCGUGGUGUAAUUGUUUCAAGGCAGGCUACCAAACAAGUUAUUAAAGAUGACUUGCGAGAAAAGCUAGU